rnacentral:rRNA from 1 species
UAACGCGUGAGGAACCUGCCUUCCAGAGGGGGACAACAGUUGGAAACGACUGCUAAUACCGCAUGAUGCGUUGGAGCCGCAUGACUCUGACGUCAAAGAUUUAUCGCUGGAAGAUGGCCUCGCGUCUGAUUAGCUAGUUGGUGAGGUAACGGCCCACCAAGGCGACGAUCAGUAGCCGGACUGAGAGGUUGGCCGGCCACAUUGGGACUGAGAUACGGCCCAGACUCCUACGGGAGGCAGCAG